GAUGAACGCUGGCGGCGUGCCUAAUACAUGCAAGUCGAGCGAACAGACGAGGGGCUUGCUCCUCUGACGUUAGCGGCGGACGGGUGAGUAACACGUGGAUAACCUACCUAUAAGACUGGGAUAACUUCGGGAAACCGGAGCUAAUACCGGAUAAUAUAUUGAACCGCAUGGUUCAAUAGUGAAAGACGGUUUUGCUGUCACUUAUAGAUGGAUCCGCGCCGCAUUAGCUAGUUGGUAAGGUAACGGCUUACCAAGGCAACGAUGCGUAGCCGACCUGAGAGGGGGGUGGGCCCACAGGAGAGGGGGACCCGCGCCGAGCCCCCUGGGGGGGCGGCGGGGCGGCUUCUUCCGGAAGGGGCGGAGACUCGAGGAACACAGGCCCGGGGGUGAAAGAAGUUUCUAGGUACCUAAACCCUUUUUUUUGGGGAAAAAAAAAGUGUGUACGAACAAGUGCGUUUUGGGAGGGCAAUUAAUAAGAAACCCCCGCCAACCCCCUCC
rnacentral:rRNA from 1 species